UGGGUAACCUGCCUCAAAGAGGGGAAUAGCCUCCCGAAAGGGAGAUUAAUACCGCAUAAUAUGUUUAAGUCGCAUGACUUUAACAUCAAAGGAUUUUCUUUUAAGAAAUUCCACUUUGAGAUGGACCCGCGGCGCAUUAGCUAGUUGGUGAGGUAACGGCUCACCAAGGCAACGAUGCGUAGCCGACCUGAGAGGGUNAUCGGGCCACAUUGGAACUGAGACACGGUCCAGACUCCGUAGGGAGG
rnacentral:rRNA from 1 species